rnacentral:rRNA from 1 species
AGUGAACGCUGGCGGCGUGCUUAACACAUGCAAGUCGAACGAGAACGGAAUAUAGCUUGCUAUAUUUGUCAGCUAAGUGGCGCACGGGUGAGUAAUGUAUAGAUAACCUGCCCUUAAGAAAGGAAUAACAGUUGGAAACGACUGCUAAUGCCCUAUAUGCCUUUAAUACAUAAGUAUGCAAGGGAAACGCUUUAGUGCUUAAGGAUAGGUCUGUAUGGUAUCAGCUUGUUGGUGAGGUAAUGGCUCACCAAGGCUAUGACGCCUAACUGGUUUGAGAGGAUGCUCAGUCAAACUGGAACUGAGACACGGUCCAGACUCCUACGGGAGGCAGCAGUGGGGAAUAUUGCACAAUGGACGAAAGUCUGAUGCAGCAACGCCGCGUGGAGGAUGACACAUUUCGGUGCGUAAACUCCUUUUAUAUAGGAAGAUAAUGACGGUACUAUAUGAAUAAGCACCGGCUAACUCCGUGCCAGCCGCCGCCGUAACAC